CAGUCGCCGCGGUAAUACGAAGGGUGCAAGCGUUACUUGGAAUUACUGGGCGUAAAGCGUGCGUAGGUGGUGGUUUAAGUCCGUUGUGAAAGCCCUGGGCUCAACCUGGGAAUUGCAGUGGAUACUGGGUCACUAGAGUGUGGUAGAGGAUAGUGGAAUUUCCGGUGUAGCAGUGAAAUGCGUAGAGAUCGGAAGGAACAUCUGUGGCGAAGGCGACUAUCUGGGCCAACACUGACACUGAGGCACGAAAGCGUGGGGAGCAAACAGGAUUAGAUACCCCUGUAGUCCCUGUCUCUUAUAU
rnacentral:rRNA from 1 species